UCUUGUAAUGGCGUAUGUGGCUUCCCACACCUGAGGGCUGGCCCAUUGGAGUUAAAAACAGUCUAGAUGAAACAUAGCCCCAUUCUGAACCUGAGUUUGCUGGUAGAGAAGAUUGCAUGACACACAUAAAAGUGGACGAGGAAGAGGAACAAGAAGGAAAUGGAAGAGGCCUUCGGAUGAAGAUAUUGAACUCUCAGUUCUUCCUGCACCAUGCCUGCCUGGAUGCUGUCA